rnacentral:rRNA from 1 species
GCUCACCACUUUGUGGUUCAUGACUGGGGUGAAGUCGUAACAAGGUAGCGCUAGGGGAACCUGGCGCUGGAUCACCUCCUUAUACGAUGAU